GAGGUUGAACGGCCACAUUGGGACUGAGACACGGCCCAGACUCCUACGGGAGGCAGCAGUGGGGAAUAUUGCACAAUGGGGGAAACCCUGAUGCAGCGACGCCGCGUGGAGGAAGAAGGUCUUCGGAUUGUAAACUCCUGUUGUUGAGGAAGAUAAUGACGGUACUCAACAAGGAAGUGACGGCUAACUACGUGCCAGCAGCCGCGGUAAAACGUAGGUCACAAGCGUUGUCCGGAAUUACUGGGUGUAAAGGGAGCGCAGGCGGGCGAUCAAGUUGGAAGUGAAAUCCAUGGGCUCAACCCAUGAACUGCUUUCAAAACUGAUUGUCUUGAGUAGUGCAGAGGUAGGCGGAAUUCCCGGUGUAGCGGUGGAAUGCGUAGAUAUCGGGAGGAACACCAGUGGCGAAGGCGGCCUACUGGGCACCAACUGACGCUGAGGCUCGAAAGUGUGGGGAGCAAACAGGAUUAGAUACCCUGGUAGUCCACACCGUAAACGAUGAUUACUAGGUGUUGGAGGAUUGACCCCUUCAGUGCCGCAGUUAACACAAUAAGUAAUCCACCUGGGGAGUACGACCGCAAGGUUGAAACUCAAAGGAAUUGACGGGGGCCCGCACAAGCAGUGGAGUAUGUGGUUUAAUUCGACGCAACGCGAAGAACCUUACCAAGUCUUGACAUCCUGCGGCGAUGCUAGAAAUAGUAUUUUCCUUCGGGACGCAGAGACAGGUGGUGCAUGGUUGUCGUCAGCUCGUGUCGUGAGAUGUUGGGUUAAGUCCCGCAACGAGCGCAACCCUUAUGGUCAGUUACUACGCAAGAGGACUCUGGCCAGACUGCCGUUGACAAAACGGAGGAAGGUGGGGAUGACGUCAAAUCAUCAUGCCCUUUAUGACUUGGGCUACACACGUACUACAAUGGCGUUAAACAAAGAGAAGCAAGACCGCGAGGUGGAGCAAAACUCAGAAACGACGUCCCAGUUCGGACUGCAGGCUGCAACUCGCCUGCACGAAGUCGGAAUUGCUAGUAAUCGCAGAUCAGCAUGCUGCGGUGAAUACGUUCCCGGGCCUUGUACACACCGCCCGUCACACCAUGAGAGCCGGGGGGACCCGAAGUCGGUAGUCUAACCGCAAGGAGGACGCCGCCGAAGGUAAAACUGGUGAUUGGGGUGAAGUCGUAACAAGGUAGCCGUAGGAGAACCUGCGGCUG
rnacentral:rRNA from 1 species